CAGGCCUAACACAUGCAAGUCGAACGGAUGUAGCAAUACAUUAGUGGCGCACGGGUGCGUAACACGUAACUAACCUACCCAGAACUGGGGGAUAGCCCGCCGAAAGGCGGAUUAAUACCGCAUAACACGAGGUGGCGGCAUCGUCUCUUCGUUAAAGAUUUAUUGGUUUUGGAUGGGGUUGCGGGUCAUUAGCUAGUUGGGUAGGUAACGGCUGCCCAAGGCGACGAUGACUAGGGGAGCUGAGAGGCUGGUCCCCCACACGGGCACUGAGAUACGGGCCCGACUCCUACGGGAGGCAGCAGUAGGGAAUAUUGGGCAAUGGGCGAGAGCCUGACCCAGCCAUGCCGCGUGCAGGAAGAAGGCUUUCUGAGUCGUAAACUGCUUUUGAUAGGGAAGAAUAAGGUGUACGUGUACACCGAUGACGGUACCUACAGAAUAAGCACCGGCUAACUCCGUGCCAGCAGCCGCGGUAAU
rnacentral:rRNA from 1 species